CAGUAGCCGCGGGAAUACGUAGGUCCCGAGCGUUGUCCGGAUUUGUUGGGCGUAAAGCGAGCGCAGGCGGUUAGAUAAGUCUGAAGUUAAAGGCUGUGGCUUAACCAUAGUACGCUUUGGAAACUGUUUAACUUGAGUGCAAGAGGGGAGAGUGGAAUUCCAUGUGUAGCGGUGAAGUGCGUAGAUAUAUGGAGGAACACCGGUGGCGAAAGCGGCUCUCUGGCUUGUAACUGACGCUGAGGUUCGAAAGCAUGGGGAGCAAACAGGAUUAGAUACCCCCGUAGUCCCUGUCUCUAUACAC
rnacentral:rRNA from 1 species